rnacentral:lncRNA from 1 species
AUGACUUAAAAGAAAAGGUGAUGCUAUAACUCAUUAUUUUCACAUUUCUAUAUGUUUGAAAUACGAGUAGAUGUGAUGUCUUUGUUAAGAGUCUCAUAUUGGAUGAGAUAUAUAGCUUAAACAUAUGUUUAUAAGUAGGAUAAUUUUCAUCUUACAAACGAAUUUUGUAAGAUUAAAAUGGUAUAAUCUAUCCAAUAUCUAUCAGAUCAUCUGCUAUUAGGUUUGCUGUAUCAAACUACUUGGGUCAAAUUUCAGUUGUCCUGUCCUAAGUAUGAGAGGUGUGUUAAAAAUCUCAUAUUUAAUUAGAUAAUAUGACUUGUAUAUAUGUUUAUAAGUAGAAUAAAUCUUUUUUUUAUUUCCGUUAUGGUAGUUGAUGAAUUGGGAGUUUGUUAGUUCUGCCUUUUUAGUUUUAAAAUUUUUGGUAAAGGCCUGGAAACAAACCGGUUCAUAUUUAGAGAGGCCUUAUAGGGGUUCCUUUGGAGCAUCCAUUGUAUUCUUUUAUUUUUAAAUUAUAUUAUAUUGUUUCAUAUAAAAUGAUGCAUUUUAUGAAUAUUUUUUUUUCAAAAGUAAGACACUGCAUUCAACUAUAACUAAACCAUAUGGGUCAAUUGAUGUAGU